rnacentral:tRNA from 1 species
GGAGGAUUACCAAAGUCUGGCUGAAGGUAACGGUAUUGAAAACCGUCAGGCGUGUAAAAGCGUGUGUGGGUUCGAAUCCCAUAUCCUCUU